rnacentral:rRNA from 1 species
UACGUAGGGUGCGAGCGUUAAUCGGAAUUACUGGGCGUAAAGCGUGCGCAGGCGGUUUUGUAAGCCAGAUGUGAAAUCCCCGGGCUUAACCUGGGAAUGGCAUUUGGGACUGCAAGGCUCGAGUGCGGCAGAGGAGACUGGAAUUCCUGGUGUAGCGGUGAAAUGCGCAGAUAUCAGGAGGAAUACCGGUGGCGAAGGCGGCCUUCUGGACGGUGACUGACGCUGAGACGCGAAAGCGUGGGGAGCAAACAGG